rnacentral:lncRNA from 1 species
UCUUCCUUGGCUACAUAAUGGUUUGAGGCCAGUCUGAGCUACAUGAGACCCUUUCUCAAGGGGAGAAAAAGCAGUUGUACUCUAGGAUGGACUAACAAAUGAAUUUCAUGGUUAAUUUUAGUCAAAUCUUAGUUAAGACCUGGGCAACUGUCAUGAGGCUCUGCAACAUAGGAUUUAGAAUACUCUAGAGUGGGCUGAUUAAUUGUCUGCUAUGGAACCAGCAUUAUGCUGGGACUAGAGCAAGGAAAGAUAAUGGAAAAAAAGUGCAUAGUUCCUCACCACAAAGAUUUUUUUUUUUACCCUCAUUGAGAAGUACAGGUCUUACACAGAAGAUACCAUGAGAGGAAUGUUAUGAGAGAGAAUGGUAUGAGCAAAGCCAUAAUCAGGUAUUCAGUUUGGUGCCAAGAAGUAUAAUGGGACUUGGAAAAAGGUGGGCUACUACCAGUAUAGAUCAGAGUCACUGGAGAAGGACUCAUGGAUUCAAGCUGGCCUUUGAGAUAACUAUGAUUGGGUAUUGUAGAGAUGUGGAAAAGGAAGGGCAUUCCAGGUAAAGGAUGCAGCAUGAGCCAAAACAUGGGACUGGAUUGAAUGUCUGGAGACAGAGAGGAGCACAUCUUAAAUGUAGUGUGGAGUGGAGGGGGCGGGGCCUAGCUUACAGAGGGCAAGUUGACUAUGACAUUGAAUACUGAGGUACAGCAUUGAGACACAACCAGACAGGACUGCUUUGCUCAGGAAAGUGAUAGGAAGGGCUUGAUGUGUUAAGGGAUUAGUGUAGAGUGAAUGAGUGUAGGGGAAGGUGUGAGAAGACGAAGUGAGGGAGCACAGCUGCAGAUUUUCAGGGAUGUGCAGAUUCGGGUAGGAAGGGCAUAUGGAGUAGCAGAACAACUGGGUGUGUUUGUGGGGAGCAACAGCAAGCAUAAAAACCGUUGGUAGGUGUUUAUAGAAUGCUUAUCGUGUGCAGACAGUUUUUCAUAAGAGAAAAAUAAGCUAAAACAGAAUCUAAAAAUUCCUAAGCAUUAAGGUUAUGAGACAGUAAAAUGGAGUAUUGUCUUUGUGUUUUAUUCUCUGACCUAGAAAUCGGUCAGACUCCAGAAGGGCUCCUCUCAUUAGUGCCAAGAGGAAUGAAUACAAUGACUUGUUAGUUUCUUUCAGGUCAGGGACCCAGGGUUUGCACCACCCCCUUUCUCUGCCCUGUGCUUUGACCUUUGGACCCUUGUCUUUGGAGGUUUUCACACCAGACACUGCAGCAGACACCAAUGAUGGGUACCAUGACUCCGUUGAGUGCCCAGGGUGUCCAGGCAGGCGUCCGUUCAACUUCCAUCCUGCCUGAGCAGCAACAACAGCAACAACAGCAGCAGCAGCAACAGCAGCAGCAACAACAGCAACAGCAGCAACAGCAGCAACAGCAACAACAGCAACAACAGCAGUACCACAUCCGACAGCAACAACAGCAACAGCAGAUCCUAAGGCAACAGCAGCAACAGCAGCAGCAGCAGCAACAACAGCAGCAACAGCAGCAGCAACAACAGCAGCAACAACCACAACAGCAGCAGCCACACCAGCAGCAGCAGCAGGCAGCACCUCCCCAACCUCAACCCCAGUCCCAGCCCCAGUUCCAGCGCCAGGGGCUUCAGCAGACCCAGCAGCAGCAACAGACAGCAGCUUUGGUCCGGCAACUUCAACAACAGCUCUCUAAUACCCAGCCACAGCCCAGUACCAACAUAUUUGGACGCUACUGAGUCACCUGGAGGAACUGCUUAUACACUGGAUGUGGCCCAGCCUUUCUGCUUAAUUCCCAGUCCCCUUCUUGGGCGAGCUCCAGUAGUGGUUGGGGUCCUUCCCUCAGGCUCCAUUUUUAAUGAAUUUUUAGUAUUUUUGUUAAUGUGAAACAUUGAACUGUUGGGUUUUGUAUAUUAUUUAUAUAGAGCUCCAGAGCUGCUGCACUCAAUACACAGAGCUUCUUUGCA